CGUAGGGAAACCGAGUCUUAACCGGGCGUUAAGUUGCAGGGUAUAGACCCGAAACCCGGUGAUCUAGCCAUGGGCAGGUUGAAGGUUGGGUAACACUAACUGGAGGACCGAACCGACUAAUGUUGAAAAAUUAGCGGAUGACCUGUGGCUGGGGGUGAAAGGCCAAUCAAACCGGGAGAUAGCUGGUUCUCCCCGAAAGCUAUUUAGGUAGCGCCUCGUGAAUUCAUCUCCGGGGGUAGAGCACUGUUUCGGCUAGGGGGCCAUCCCGGCUUACCAACCCGAUGCAAACUGCGAAUACCGGAGAAUGUUAUCACGGGAGACACACGGCGGGUGCUAACGUCCGUCGUGAAGAGGGAAACAACCCAGACCGCCAGCUAAGGUCCCAAAGUCAUGGUUAAGUGGGAAACGAUGUGGGAAGGCCCAGACAGCCAGGAUGUUGGCUUAGAAGCAGCCAUCAUUUAAAGAAAGCGUAAUAGCUCACUGGUCGAGUCGGCCUGCGCGGAAGAUGUAACGGGGCUAAACCAUGCACCGAAGCUGCGGCAGCGAACGUAUCACCCAAGACAACUUUGCGGAGUUGACGAUUGACGGAGCGAAGCGACGUCAAAGCGUUCAUUAAAGUCGAGUUGGCUUAGGGAUACGUUCGUUGGGUAGGGGAGCGUUCUGUAAGCCUGUGAAGGUGGCCUGUGAGGGUUGCUGGAGGUAUCAGAAGUGCGAAUGCUGACAUAAGUAACGAUAAAGCGGGUGAAAAGCCCGCUCGCCGGAAGACCAAGGGUUCCUGUCCAACGUUAAUCGGGGCAGGGUGAGUCGACCCCUAAGGCGAGGCCGAAAGGCGUAGUCGAUGGGAAACGGGUUAAUAUUCCCGUACUUGGUGUUACUGCGAAGGGGGGACGGAGAAGGCUAUGUUGGCCGGGCGACGGUUGUCCCGGUUUAAGCGUGUAGGUGUGUGUUCCAGGUAAAUCCGGUUCACUUUAACACUGAGGCGUGACGACGAGGCACUACGGUGCUGAAGCAACAAAUGCCCUGCUUCCAGGAAAAGCCUCUAAGCAUCAGGUAACAUCAAAUCGUACCCCAAACCGACACAGGUGGUCAGGUAGAGAAUACCAAGGCGCUUGAGAGAACUCGGGUGAAGGAACUAGGCAAAAUGGUGCCGUAACUUCGGGAGAAGGCACGCUGACACGUAGGUGAAGUGAUUUACUCAUGGAGCUGAAGUCAGUCGAAGAUACCAGCUGGCUGCAACUGUUUAUUAAAAACACAGCACUGUGCAAACACGAAAGUGGACGUAUACGGUGUGACGCCUGCCCGGUGCCGGAAGGUUAAUUGAUGGGGUCAGCGCAAGCGAAGCUCCUGAUCGAAGCCCCGGUAAACGGCGGCCGUAACUAUAACGGUCCUAAGGUAGCGAAAUUCCUUGUCGGGUAAGUUCCGACCUGCACGAAUGGCGUAAUGAUGGCCAGGCUGUCUCCACCCGAGACUCAGUGAAAUUGAACUCGCUGUGAAGAUGCAGUGUACCCGCGGCAAGACGGAAAGACCCCGUGAACCUUUACUAUAGCUUGACACUGAACAUUGAGCCUUGAUGUGUAGGAUAGGUGGGAGGCUUUGAAGCGUGGACGCCAGUCUGCGUGGAGCCGACCUUGAAAUACCACCCUUUAAUGUUUGAUGUUCUAACGUGGACCCGUAAUCCGGGUUGCGGACAGUGUCUGGUGGGUAGUUUGACUGGGGCGGUCUCCUCCUAAAGAGUAACGGAGGAGCACGAAGGUUGGCUAAUCCUGGUCGGACAUCAGGAGGUUAGUGCAAUGGCAUAAGCCAGCUUGACUGCGAGCGUGACGGCGCGAGCAGGUGCGAAAGCAGGUCAUAGUGAUCCGGUGGUUCUGAAUGGAAGGGCCAUCGCUCAACGGAUAAAAGGUACUCCGGGGAUAACAGGCUGAUACCGCCCAAGAGUUCAUAUCGACGGCGGUGUUUGGCACCUCGAUGUCGGCUCAUCACAUCCUGGGGCUGAAGUAGGUCCCAAGGGUAUGGCUGUUCGCCAUUUAAAGUGGUACGCGAGCUGGGUUUAGAACGUCGUGAGACAGUUCGGUCCCUAUCUGCCGUGGGCGCUGGAGAACUGAGGGGGGCUGCUCCUAGUACGAGAGGACCGGAGUGGACGCAUCACUGGUGUUCGGGUUGUCAUGCCAAUGGCACUGCCCGGUAGCUAAAUGCGGAAGAGAUAAGUGCUGAAAGCAUCUAAGCACGAAACUUGCCCCGA
rnacentral:rRNA from 1 species